rnacentral:rRNA from 1 species
UACGUAGGUGGCAAGCGUUGUCCGGAUUUAUUGGGUUUAAAGGGUGCGUAGGCGGUCCAUUAAGUCAGCAGUGAAAUACGGCAGCUCAACUGUCGAGGUGCUGUUGAUACUGGUGGACUUGAGUACUGAUGAGGUAGGCGGAAUGGACGGUGUAGCGGUGAAAUGCUUAGAGAUCGUCCAGAACACCGAUAGCGAAGGCAGCUUACUAAGGAGUAACUGACGCUGAGGCACGAAAGUGUGGGGAU